rnacentral:rRNA from 1 species
GUCGANCGAAGAGGUCUCUUCNNAGAUACUUCGNGGCGGACGGGUGNGUAACGCGUANGUAAUGUNCCCUAUACUGGGGGAUAACAAGAGGAAACUCUUGCUAAUACCGCAUAANACGUGAGGUGGAACCCCUCAUGUUUAAAACUCCGGUGGUAUAGGAUCGGCCUGCGUCUGAUUANCUUGUUGGGGGGGUAAAGGCCCNCCNAGGCGAUGAUCANUANGUGGUCUGANAGGAUGAUCACCCACAGUGGGACUGANACNCGGCCCACACUCCUACGGGAGGCAGCAGUAGGGAAUAUUGCGCAAUGGGCGAAAGCCUGACGCAGCAAUGCCGCGUGGAGGACGACACCCUUCGGGGCGUAAACUCCUGUCAGCAGGGAAGAUAAUGACGGUACCUGCAAAGGAAGCAUCNGNUAACUACGUGCCANCNGCCGCGGUAAUACGUAGGAUGCAAGCGUUGUCCGGAUUUAUUGGGCGUAAAGAGUUCGUAGGCGGUGAUUUAAGUCUGAUGUUAAAGACCGAGGCUCAACCUCGAUACGGCAUUGGAUACUGGAUCACUAGAGUUCGGUAGAGGUCACGGGAAUUCCCGGUGUANCGGUGAAAUGCGUANAUAUCGGGAGGAACACCAGANGCGAAAGCGCGUGGCUGGGCCGUUUACUGACGCUGAGGAACGAAAGCCAGGGUAGCGAAAGGGAUUAGAUACCCCUGUAGUCCUGGCCGUAAACGAUGGAUACUANGUGUUGGAGGUAUCGACCCCCUCANUACCGAAGCUAACGCGAUAAGUAUCCCGCCNGGGGAGUACNACCGCAAGGUUGAAACUC